ACCGGCAGCUCAAGUGGUAGCCGCGAUUAUUGGGCCUAAAGCGUUCGUAGCCGGAUAAGUAAGUCUUUGGUUAAAUCCUGCAACUUAACUGUGGGAAAUCUAGGGAUACUGCUUGUCUUGAGACCGGGAGAGGUUAGCGGUACUCCUAGGGUAGGGGUGAAAUCCUGUGAUCCUAGGAGGACCACCUGUGGCGAAGGCGGCUAACUGGAACGGGUCUGACGCUGAGGGGCGAAACCUAGGGGAGCGAGCAG
rnacentral:rRNA from 1 species